CCGAGUUUACAACUCCCAAACCCCUGUGAACAUACCUAUACGUUGCCUCGGCGGAUCAGCCCGCGCCCCGUAAAAGGGACGGCCCGCCCGAGGACCACCUAAACUCUGUUUUAGUGGAACUUCUGAGUAAAACAAACAAAUAAAUC
rnacentral:misc_RNA from 1 species